UUCUGUCCUUGUCACUGGCACUGUUCUGCCUUGUGGCCAGAUGGGUCUCACUCACUUCUGCUGCUUGGCUGGUGAGUGUGUGGGCAUCUCACCUUCUCACCAAGCAUUGGUGUUGUUCUGAGAAUUAGUGUUUAUGGUGCAGAAGUUCUUGUGUUUCUGUGUGUGCACGCAGGGUGAGAUUGUUGGGAGGAUAGUGGUGUCCCUUUCUUGUGAGGAGCUUGAGUGUGGGAGUGCAGGCAGGGACGGAUGUCCAACCCCAACUCUCUGCCUGAUCUUGUAGAGGCCCAACUGGAGGGCAGGGGCUGGGUACGGAGCAGCUGUGUAUCUGAGGGUCCUUUGAGAGUCACUAGAGUGGUUGAAUGUGCUGGUUUCAUAGGCCACACCACCAGCCUGUGUUCCCCCUAAUCUUAUCUUUUUCCAGCAGCCCAAGUUGCUGGCCCUGACUGCCAGAGCUGUGCCCGCAGACGUCAGCCUGCAUCUCCUGAAUCAACUCCCAUGGGUUUCUCAAGUGCUCAGCAGCACCGGAAUGGCCUAGAGUGGAGCAGGGAUCACAGCUGUUGAUCAAGCUAUGCCUCCUGUCAGUGCAGCCCAGAGGGCAGUUGCUGAAGCAAGCGCAGCAGUGGUGGGAAGAUGCUGGAGCCAUUUCUUCAGGUCACCCUUGGGGAGGAGCGUCUUCAGCUGGACCACCUGAAAACCCAGCUCUUGAAUGCCAUUUGGUGGUGCACAGAAAAUUACAGAAAAGUCAGAGCACUGUUGACCAUGGCACAGAGGGGCAUUGAGCAUAUGGGUACAGAGUAUUUACCACAGUCAGUGGAUGUUAGGGGACAUCACAGAAUCCACUGCCAUUUGUGUUCCAGGGAGGGGCUUUAA
rnacentral:lncRNA from 1 species